rnacentral:rRNA from 1 species
UACAGAGGUCCCAAGCGUUGUUCGGAUUCAUUGGGCGUAAAGGGUGCGUAGGUGGCGCUGUAAGUCGGGUGUGAAAUUUCGGAGCUUAACUCCGAAACUGCAUUCGAUACUGCGGUGCUUGAGGACUGGAGAGGAGACUGGAAUUCAUGGUGUAGCAGUGAAAUGCGUAGAGAUCAUGAGGAAGACCAGUGGCGAAGGCGGGUCUCUGGACAGUUCCUGACACUGAGGCACGAAGGCCAGGGGAGCAAACGGG